rnacentral:lncRNA from 1 species
AUGAAAUUUUGUAUAACAAUUGCAAUACUGAAAUGCACCUGUCUUUUGCUAGAACCUCGUCUGCUCAGCAGUGCUUUUAGUUUUUACACUGCAAUGAGGAGAAAGUGCUUCUCCACGGUUUGCUAUGCCCCACUUCUCUCUGUACACUGGUCAUCCUGUGCAGAAAAUUGUUUCUGUGCUAUUACAGCAGUGAGUUUGUCUCAUGUGGUAGGUUUUAAAGCAGCAAACAGAAGUUGCACUCAGUAGGAAGCAGAGCUCUCCUGGUAGCCUCUGCUGUGCGGGAGGCAGCCACCUCCCAGCCCCUGGACCAGACACUGUGGGGAUGGAUGUGGCUGUGGAGCUCCAGCCACCUGCUCCCACCCAGUCCCUCGGUACUCAGACCUCCAUAGCCCAAAAGAGCCAGCUGGGCUAACUGAAGAGUGGGAUUUGAACUGUGUGUAUCCACGGUCAGUGAUGUGGUUUCAAGCCAACCAGCAACUAAGGCCAGCUGCUCACUUGCCACCAGUGGGAUGGGGGAGGGAAUCACAGGGACAAAAGGGAGAAAACUUGUGGGUUGAGAUAAAGACAGUUUAGUAGGGAAAGCAAAAGCUGUGCACACAAGAAAAGCAGAACAAGGAAUUCAUUCACUAUUUCCCACAGGCAGGCAGGUGUUCAGGCAUCUCCAGGAGAGCAGGGCCUCAUCUCACACAACAGUGACUUGGGAAGACAAACACCAUCACUCCAAACGUCUUCUGCUUCCUUCUUCUGCCCCCAGCUUUACAUGCUGAGCAUGAGGCCACAUCCUCUGGGGUACCUCUGUGGCCAGCUGGGGUCAGCUCUCCUGGCUGUGUCACCUCCCAAUUCCUUGUGCAUCCCCAGUCUCCUCACUGGUGGGUGAGGAGCAGAAAAGGCCUUGAUUCUGUGCAAGCACUGCCGAGCAAUAAGGAAAGUAUGCCUGUGUUAUCAGCCCUGUCUGCAGCACAAAUCCAAAACACAAAGCUGCUCUGAAAAAAUCUUAACUUCCCCAGCCAAAAACAGCUCAGUUGGGCUUUUUAGCCACAGCAGGAAUUUGGGGUUAGACCCCAGAGAGGCAGUGGUGUUGAGCAGCUUCAGUGAAAGAGAGGGCCCCCAAAGUGCAUAGUGCAUCUUCAUCUAAUGGAUCCUGGGAGAAAGUCUCUUCAAGCACAAGAAACACCCAUGUUGGUAAAACCCUACUGGAAGAAUAAACAGGGCAAGAUGUGAUUUAUCCUGGGUACU